GUCAGUAUGGCGCAGUGGCUUUGAGUGUUGGACUGUGAUUCUGGAGAUCCGGGUUCAAAUCCCUGCUUGGGCA